rnacentral:rRNA from 1 species
ACGAACGCUGGCGGCGUGGAUAAGACAUGCAAGUCGAACGAGAGAAUUGCUAGCUUGCUAAUAAUUCUCUAGUGGCGCACGGGUGAGUAACACGUGAGUAACCUGCCCCCGAGAGCGGGAUAGCCCUGGGAAACUGGGAUUAAUACAGCAUAGAAUCGCAAGCUUAAAGCAGCAAUGCGCUUGGGGAUGGGCUCGCGGCCUAUUAGUUAGUUGGUGAGGUAACGGCUCACCAAGGCGAUGACGGGUAGCCGGUCUGAGAGGAUGUCCGGCCACACUGGAACUGAGACACGGUCCAGACACCUACGGGUGGCAGCAGUCGAGAAUCAUUCACAAUGGGGGAAACCCUGAUGGUGCGACGCCGCGUGGGGGAAUGAAGGUCUUCGGAUUGUAAACCCCUGUCAUGUGGGAGCAAAUUAAAAAGAUAGUACCACAAGAGGAAGAGACGGCUAACUCUGUGCCAGCAGCCGCGGUAAUACAGAGGUCUCAAGCGUUGUUCGGAAUCACUGGGCGUAAAGCGUGCGUAGGCUGUUUCGUAAGUCGUGUGUGAAAGGCGCGGGCUCAACCCGCGGACGGCACAUGAUACUGCGAGACUAGAGUAAUGGAGGGGGAACCGGAAUUCUCGGUGUAGCAGUGAAAUGCGUAGAUAUCGAGAGGAACACUCGUGGCGAAGGCGGGUUCCUGGACAUUAACUGACGCUGAGGCACGAAGGCCAGGGGAGCGAAAGGGAUUAGAUACCCCUGUAGUCCUGGCAGUAAACGGUGCACGCUUGGUGCGCGGGGAAUCGACCCCCUGCGUGCCGGAGCUAACGCGUUAAGCGUGCCGCCUGGGGAGUACGGUCGCAAGAUUAAAACUCAAAGAAAUUGACGGGGACCCGCACAAGCGGUGGAGUAUGUGGCUUAAUUCGAUGCAACGCGAAGAACCUUACCUGGGCUUGACAUGUAAUGAACAACAUGUGAAAGCAUGCGACUCUUCGGAGGCGUUACACAGGUGCUGCAUGGCCGUCGUCAGCUCGUGUCGUGAGAUGUUUGGUUAAGUCCAGCAACGAGCGCAACCCCUGUUGCCAGUUACCAGCACGUGAAGGUGGGGACUCUGGCGAGACUGCCCAGAUCAACUGGGAGGAAGGUGGGGACGACGUCAGGUCAGUAUGGCCCUUAUGCCCAGGGCUGCACACGUACUACAAUGCCCAGUACAGAGGGGGCCGAAGCCGCGAGGCGGAGGAAAUCCUGAAAACUGGGCCCAGUUCGGACUGUAGGCUGCAACCCGCCUACACGAAGCCGGAAUCGCUAGUAAUGGCGCAUCAGCUACGGCGCCGUGAAUACGUUCCCGGGUCUUGUACACACCGCCCGUCACAUCAUGGAAGCCGGUCGCACCCGAAGUAUCUGAAGCCAACCGCAAGGAGGCAGGGUCCUAAGGUGAGACUGGUAACUGGGAUG